CUGCUCAACAUCACUAAUUAUUAGAGAAAUGCAAAUCAAAACUACAAUGAGGUAUCACCUCACACCAGUUAGAAUGGUCAUCAGAAAAUCUAUAAACAACAAAUGCUGGAGAGGGUGUGGAGAAAAGGGAACCCUCUUGCACUGUUGGUGGGAAUGUAAAUCGAUACAGCCACUAUGGAGAACAGUAUGGAGGUUCCUUAAAAAACUAAAAAUAGAAUUACCAUAUGAUCCAGCAAUCCCACUACUGGGCAUAUACCCAGAGAAAACCAUAAUUCAAAAAGAUACAUGCACCCCAAUGUUUAUAGCAACACCAUUUACAAUAGUCAAAGACAUGGAAACAACCUAAAUACCCACUGACAGAUGAAUGAAUAAAGAAGAUAUGGUAAAAUGGAAUACUACUCACCCAUAAAAAAGAAUGAAAUAAUGCCAUUUGCAGCAACAUGGAUGGACCUAGAGAUUAUCAUACUAAGUGAAGUCAGAAAGACAAAUACCAUAUCACUUUUAUGUGGAAUCUAAAAUACGACACAAACAUAUCUACAAAACAAAAAUAGACUUACAGAUAUAGAGAACAGACUUGUGGUUGCCAAGGGAGAGGGAAGGUUGGGCAGUUUGGGAUUAGCAGAUGCAAACUAUUAUAUAUAGGAUGGAUAAACAACAAAGUCCUACUGUCUAGCACAGGGAACUAUAUUCAAUAUCCUUUGAUAAACCGUAAUGGAAAAGAACAUGAAAAAGUAUAUAUGUGUAUAACUGAAUCACUUUGCUGCACAGCAGAAAUUAACACUGAAAAUCAACAGUACUUCAGUAAAAUUAAAUAUAUAUAUACACUUGAAAAAUAAAGUGCUUCUGAUUAAUGUUAAGUCACAA